rnacentral:rRNA from 1 species
UACGGAGGGGGCGAGUGUUGUUCGGAAUCACUGGGCGUAAAGCGCGUGUAGGCGGCCUCCUAAGUCUGGUGUGAAAGCCCGGGGCUUACCCCCGGAAAUGCACUGGAAACUGGGAAGCUAGAGUACCGAAGAGGAGGGUGGAAUUCCUGGUGUAGCGGUGAAAUGCGUAGAUAUCAGGAGGAACACCGGUGGCGAAGGCGGCCCUCUGGACGGAUACUGACGCUGAGGCGAGAAAGCGUGGGGAGCAAACAGG